GCGGCAGCCUAUACAUGCAGUCGAACGAGAUCUUCGGAUCUAGUGGCGCACGGGUGCGUAACGCGUGGGAAUCUGCCCUUGGGUUCGGAAUAACUUCUGGAAACGGAAGCUAAUACCGGAUGAUGACGUAAGUCCAAAGAUUUAUCGCCCAAGGAUGAGCCCGCGUAGGAUUAGCUAGUUGGUGGGGUAAAGGCUCACCAAGGCGACGAUCCUUAGCUGGUCUGAGAGGAUGAUCAGCCACACUGGGACUGAGACACGGCCCAGACUCCUACGGGAGGCAGCAGUAGGGAAUAUUGGACAAUGGGCGAAAGCCUGAUCCAGCAAUGCCGCGUGAGUGAUGAAGGCCUUAGGGUUGUAAAGCUCUUUUACCCGGGAUGAUAAUGACAGUACCGGGAGAAUAAGCUCCGGCUAACUCCGUGCCAGCAGCCGCGGUAAUACGGAGGGAGCUAGCGUUGUUCGGAAUUACUGGGCGUAAAGCGCACGUAGGCGGCUAUUCAAGUCAGAGGUGAAAGCCCGGGGCUCAACCCCGGAACUGCCUUUGAAACUAGAUAGCUUGAAUCCAGGAGAGGUGAGUGGAAUUCCGAGUGUAGAGGUGAAAUUCGUAGAUAUUCGGAAGAACACCAGUGGCGAAGGCGGCUCACUGGACUGGUAUUGACGCUGAGGUGCGAAAGCGUGGGG
rnacentral:rRNA from 1 species